CCCUUAGAUGUUCUGGGCCGCACGCGCGCUAAACUGAUGCAUUCAACGAGUCUAAAACCUGCUCUGAUAGGGGUGGGUAAUCUUUUGAAUGUGCAUCGUGAUUGGGAUAGAUGAUUGCAAUUUUUCAUCUUCAACGAGGAAUGCCUAGUAAACGCAAGUCAUCAGCUUGCAUUGAUUACGUCCCUGCCCUUUGUACACACCGCCCGUCGCUCCUACCGAUUGAAUGAUCCGAUGAAUAUCAUGGAUUGAGGAUUAUAGCAGGUUCGCCUGUCUUGAUCUUCGAGAAGUGAAGUAAAUCUUAUCAUUUAGAGGAAGGAGAAGUCGUAACA
rnacentral:rRNA from 1 species